rnacentral:rRNA from 1 species
UACGAAGGGGGCUAGCGUUGCUCGGAAUCACUGGGCGUAAAGCGCACGUAGGCGGACUCUUAAGUCGGUGGUGAAAUCCUGGAGCUCAACUCCAGAACUGCCUUCGAUACUGGGAGUCUCGAGUCCGGGAGAGGUGAGUGGAACUGCGAGUGUAGAGGUGAAAUUCGUAGAUAUUCGCAAGAACACCAGUGGCGAAGGCGGCUCACUGGCCCGGUACUGACGCUGAGGUGCGAAAGCGUGGGGAGCAAACAGGG